AGAGUUUGAUCCUGGCUCAGAUUGAACGCUGGCGGCAUGCUUUACACAUGCAAGUCGAACGGUAACAGGGUGCUUGCACCGCUGACGAGUGGCGAACGGGUGAGUAAUGCAUCGGAAUGUACCGUGUAAUGGGGGAUAGCUCGGCGAAAGCCGGAUUAAUACCGCAUACGCCCUGAGGGGGAAAGUGGGGGACCGUAAGGCCUCACGUUAUACGAGCAGCCGAUGUCUGAUUAGCUAGUUGGUGGGGUAAAGGCUCACCAAGGCUUCGAUCAGUAGCGGGUCUGAGAGGAUGAUCCGCCGCACUGGGACUGAGACACGGCCCAGACUCCUACGGGAGGCAGCAGUGGGGAAUUUUGGACAAUGGGCGCAAGCCUGAUCCAGCCAUGCCGCGUGUCUGAAGAAGGCCUUCGGGUUGUAAAGGACUUUUGUCCGGGAGCAAAUCCCAGUGGUUAAUACCUACUGGGGCUGAGAGUACCGGAAGAAUAAGCACCGGCUAACUACGUGCCAGCAGCCGCGGUAAUACGUAGGGUGCAAGCGUUAAUCGGAAUUACUGGGCGUAAAGCGUGCGCAGGCGGGUUGUGCAAGUCUGAUGUGAAAGCCCCGGGCUUAACCUGGGAACGGCAUUGUAGACUGCACGACUAGAGUGCGUCAGAGGGGGGUAGAAUUCCGCGUGUAGCAGUGAAAUGCGUAGAGAUGCGGAGGAAUACCGAUGGCGAAGGCAGCCCCCUGGGAUGACACUGACGCUCAUGCACGAAAGCGUGGGGAGCAAACAGGAUUAGAUACCCUGGUAGUCCACGCCCUAAACGAUGUCAACUAGCUGUUGGGGGUUUGAAUCCUUGGUAGCGAAGCUAACGCGAGAAGUUGACCGCCUGGGGAGUACGGCCGCAAGGUUAAAACUCAAAGGAAUUGACGGGGACCCGCACAAGCGGUGGAUGAUGUGGAUUAAUUCGAUGCAACGCGAAAAACCUUACCUGGUCUUGACAUGUAACGAACGCCGCAGAGAUGUGGCGGUGCCCGAAAGGGAGCGUUAACACAGGUGCUGCAUGGCUGUCGUCAGCCGUG
rnacentral:rRNA from 1 species